AGCAGCCGCGGUAAUUCCAGCUCCAAUAGCGUAUAUUAAAGUUGUUGCAGUUAAAAAGCUCGUAGUUGAAUUUCGGGAUUAAUUUACUGGUCGUGCUAUUGUACGUACUGGUUUUAUUGAUUCCUCCCUUCUGAUGAACUAUGAUGCCAUUAAUUUGGUGUCUUAGGGAAUCAGGACUGUUACUUUGAAAAAUUAGAGUGUUUAAAGCAGGCUCACGCUUGAAUACAUUAGCAUGGAAUAACGGAAUAGGACGUUUGAUUCUAUUUUGUUGGUUUCUAGGAUCGACGUAAUGAUUAAUAGGGAUAGUUGGGGGCAUUAGUAUUCAAUUGUCAGAGGUGAAAUUCUUGGAUUUAUUGAAGACUAAACUACUGCGAAAGCAUUUGCCAAGGAUGUUUUCAUUAAUCAAGAACGAA
rnacentral:sRNA from 1 species